rnacentral:rRNA from 1 species
AACGAACGCUGGCGGCAGGCCUAACACAUGCAAGUCGAGCGAACCCUUCGGGGUUAGCGGCGGACGGGUUAGUAACGCGUGGGAAUAUACCCUUUGGUACGGAAUAGCCUCGGGAAACUGAGAGUAAUACCGUAUGUGCCCUUCGGGGGAAAGAUUUAUCGCCAAAGGAUUAGCCCGCGUUGGAUUAGAUAGUUGGUGGGGUAAUGGCCUACCAAGUCUACGAUCCAUAGCUGGUUUGAGAGGAUGAUCAGCAACACUGGGACUGAGACACGGCCCAGACUCCUACGGGAGGCAGCAGUGGGGAAUCUUAGACAAUGGGCGCAAGCCUGAUCUAGCCAUGCCGCGUGAGCGAUGAAGGCCUUAGGGUUGUAAAGCUCUUUCAGGGGGGAAGAUAAUGACUGUACCCCCAGAAGAAGCCCCGGCUAACUCCGUGCCAGCAGCCGCGGUAAUGUAGACGU